UCUACAGUGUUUGUUAUCAGGAGAAUGUCUUACUUCAGCAGUCUCUGCUGCUGCGUGCAGGUUCACCCCAUGUCCUGCCACCUUGCUGACAUAGACCUUCUCAGGAUAUCAAAAGUCCUUUGGAAACUGUGUUCACUUUCCCUGCAGAGGUUUUCCUCUAGUUUUUUCCUCUUCCUAAAGCUGUAAAAUUAAAUUUUCCUUGUACGGGGAGCGAUCUCCGAGCGAGGCAGCAAGAUGCACGCGGGAUUCUUCCGCGGAACAAGUGCAGAACAGGAUAAUCGGUUCAGCAACAAACAGAAGAAGCUACUGAAGCAGCUGAAAUUCGCAGAAUGCCUAGAGAAAAAGGUGGACAUGAGCAAAGUAAAUUUGGAGGUUAUAAAGCCUUGGAUAACAAAACGAGUAACGGAAAUCCUUGGGUUUGAAGAUGAUGUUGUGAUUGAGUUUAUAUUCAACCAGUUGGAAGUGAAGAAUCCAGAUUCGAAAAUGAUGCAAAUCAACCUGACCGGGUUUUUGAAUGGAAAAAAUGCUAGAGAAUUUAUGGGAGAACUGUGGCCCCUACUCUUAAGUGCACAAGAAAACAUCGCUGGAAUCCCUUCUGCUUUCCUAGAACUGAAGAAGGAAGAAAUAAAACAGAGACAGAUUGAACAAGAAAAGUUGGCAUCUAUGAAAAAGCAAGAUGAAGACAAGGAUAAGAGGGAUAAAGAAGAAAAAGAAAGCAGCAGAGAAAAAAGGGAGCAGUCUCGAAGCCCAAGAAGACGCAAGUCCAGAUCUCCUUCCCCUAGAAGACGAUCUUCCCCUGUCAGGAGAGAGAGAAAGCGCAGUCAUUCUCGGUCUCCCCGUCACAGAACCAAAAGCCGGAGUCCUUCCCCUGCUCCAGAGAAGAAGGAAAAAACUCCAGAGCUCCCAGAGCCAUCAGUGAAAGUAAAAGAAGCUUCAGUACAAGAGGCCACUUCUACUAGUGACAUCCUGAAAGUUCCCAAGACUGAACCAGUACUAGAGCCUAAAGAACAUUCUCCAGAGAAAAACUCAAAAAAGGAAAAGGAGAAGACCCGACCAAGAUCUCGGUCACGUUCCAAGUCAAGAUCCCGGACACGUUCUGGCUCUUCUUCUCAUACUAGACCAAGAAGGCACCAUAGAUCUCGAUCAAGAUCUUACUCACCUAGAAGGCGGCCAAGCCCAAGAAGACGGCCAUCUCCUCGAAGAAGGACCCCACCGAGACGAAUGCCUCCUCCACCAAGGCAUAGAAGGAGUAGAUCUCCAGUGAGACGAAGAAGGCGUUCGUCAGCAUCCUUGUCUGGGGGUAGUUCAUCAUCUUUUUCGUCUCGUUCCCGGUCACCGCCAAAGAAGCCUCCGAAGAUGACAUCCAGCCCUCCUCCAAAAACUCGUAGGUUAUCGCCUUCAGCAAGUCCUCCGAGGCGAAGGCAUAGGCCAUCACCUCCAGCUACUCCACCGCCAAAAACUCGUCAUUCCCCAACACCCCAGCAGUCAAACCAUACAAGGAAAAGUCGUGUUUCUGUCUCUCCAGGGAGAACUUCAGGUAAAGUGACAAAACAUAAAGGUACUGAGAAAAGAGAAUCCCCUUCACCAGCACCGAAGCCUCGGAAAGUAGAGUUAUCUGAAUCGGAAGAAGAUAAAGGUGGCAAAAUGGCUGCAGCAGAUUCUGGGCAGCAGAGGCGCCAGUAUAGACGACAGAACCAGCAGUCUUCGUCUGAUUCUGGCUCCUCCUCUUCCUCAGAAGAUGAACGACCCAAAAGGUCCCAUGUGAAGAAUGGUGAGGUAGGCAGGCGACGGAGACAUUCCCCUGCCCGGAGUGCCUCUCCAUCACCUCGAAAGCGCCAGAAGGAGGCUUCCCCUCGUGGUAGACGGAGAAGUCCCUCCCCACCGCCCGCCAGAAGGCGACGUUCUCCUUCUCCUGCUCCUCCGCCUCGUCGACGCAGGUCUCCCACACCACCACCACGACGAAGGACUCCGUCUCCUCCACGUCGUCGCUCACCUUCCCCAAGAAGAUACUCUCCUCCAAUACAGAGGAGAUACUCUCCUUCUCCACCUCCAAAGAGAAGAACGGCUUCGCCCCCUCCCCCUCCUAAACGAAGGGCAUCACCAUCUCCACCACCAAAGCGUCGGGUCUCCCAUUCACCACCUCCCAAACAAAGAAGCCCCCCAGUCACCAAGAGACGUUCGCCUUCAUUGUCAUCAAAGCAUAGGAAAGGGUCUUCCCCAAGCCGAUCUGCCCGGGAGGCCCGGUCACCGCAGCCAAACAAACGGCAUUCGCCCUCACCAUGGCCUCGCGCUCCUCAGACCUCAAGUCCUCCACCUGUUCGAAGAGGAGCAUCAUCGUCACCCCAAAGAAGGCAGUCCCCAUCUCCAGGUUCUAGGCCCAUUAGGAGAGUCUCCAGGACUCCGGAACCCCAAAAGAUAAAAAAAGCUGCCUCACCAAGCCCUCAGUCGGUAAGGAGGGUCUCAUCUUCCCGAUCUGUCUCGGGAUCUCCUGAGCCAGCAGCUGAAAAGCCCCCAGCACCUCCGUCACCUGUCCAGUCUCAGUCACCCUCCACCAACUGGUCACCAGCGGUACCGGUUAAAAAGGCUAAAAGCCCAACACCAAGCCCAUCACCGGCAAGGAAUUCAGACCCAGAAGGAGGUGGAAAGAAAAAGAAGAAAAAGAAGGACAAGAAACACAAAAAGGAUAAGAAGCACAAAAAGCACAAAAAACACAAGAAGGAGAAGGCUGUAGCUGCCGCUGCUGCGGCUGCUGUAACCCCUGCAGCUGUAGCUGCUCCCACAACCACAUCAGCACAGGAAGAACCAGAGGCAGAGCCAGAGCCUAAGAAGGAGACUGAAAGUGAGGCUGAAGAUAACCUUGAUGACUUAGAAAAGCACCUGCGUGAAAAGGCCCUGAGAUCAAUGUGGAAGGCUCAAGUGUCCCCACAGUCCUAGGUGGAAAUGUUUGUUACGAUGUAAAUUUUAUUUGGUUUGUACGCAGUUCAAUUUCAAAAUUGCUAAAAUGUGUUUGAGCUUUAGACUAUAAC